GUAGGUGGCAAGCGUUGUCCGGAAUUAUUGGGCGUAAAGCGCGCGCAGGCGGUUCUUUAAGUCUGAUGUGAAAGCCCACGGCUCAACCGUGGAGGGUCAUUGGAAACUGGAGAACUUGAGUACAGAAGAGGAAAGCGGAAUUCCACGUGUAGCGGUGAAAUGCGUAGAGAUGUGGAGGAACACCAGUGGCGAAGGCGGCUUUCUGGUCUGUAACUGACGCUGAGGCGCGAAAGCGUGGGGAGCAAACAGGGAUUAGAUACCCUGGUAGUCCACGCCGUAAACGAUGAGUGCUAAGUGUUAGGGGGUUUCCGCCCCCUUAGUGCUGCAGCUAACGCAUUAAGCACUCCGCCUGGGAAGUACGGCCGCAAGGCUG
rnacentral:rRNA from 1 species